rnacentral:rRNA from 1 species
AACGUAGGACGCAAGCGUUAUCCGGAGUUACUGGGCGUAAAGCGCGGGCAGGCGGCUCUCUACGUCUGAUGUGAAAUCUCCUCGCUCAACGGGGAGAGGCCAUUGGAAACGGUCGAGCUGGAGGGCAGUAGAGGUAGGCGGAAUUCCGGGUGGAGUGGUGAAAUGCGUAGAGAUCCGGAGGAACACCAGAGGCGAAGGCGGCCUACUGGGCUGCACCUGACGCUGAGUCGCGAAAGCCAGGGGAGCGAACGGG